AAGAGUGCGUAGGUGGCUAUUUAAGCGUGGGGUGAAAGGCAGUGGCUUAACCAUUGUAAGCCUUGCGAACUGGAUAACUUGAGUGCAGGAGGGGAAAGUGGAAUUCCUAGUGUAGCGGUGAAUGCGUAGAUAUUAGGAGGAACACCAGUGGCGAAGGCGGCUUUUCUGGACUGUAACUGACACUGANGCACGAAAGCGUGGGUAGCAAACAGGAUANAUACCUGGUAGUCCCNCCGUAAC
rnacentral:rRNA from 1 species